rnacentral:rRNA from 1 species
GACGAACGCUGGCGGCGUGCUUAACACAUGCAAGUCGAACGGAAAGGCCCUGCUUUUGUGGGGUGCUCGAGUGGCGAACGGGUGAGUAACCCGUGAGUAACCUGCCCUUGACUUUGGGAUAACUUCAGGAAACUGGGGCUAAUACCGGAUAGGAGCUCCUGCUGCAUGGUGGGGGUUGGAAAGUUUCGUCGGUUGGGGAUGGACUCGCGGCUUAUCAGCUUGUUGGUGGGGUAGUGGCUUACCAAGGCUUUGACGGGUAGCCGGCCUGAGAGGGUGACCGGCCACAUUGGGACUGAGAUACGGCCCAGACUCCUACGGGAGGCAGCAGUGGGGAAUAUUGCACAAUGGGCGGAAGCCUGAUGCAGCAACGCCGCGUGCGGGAUGACGGCCUUCGGGUUGUAAACCGCUUUCGCCUGUGACGAAGCGUGAGUGACGGUAAUGGGUAAAGAAGCACCGGCUAACUACGUG